rnacentral:lncRNA from 1 species
GACAGCUGUGAUAGCGUGCCAAGCACUGCAUUAGGGACUAGGGGUGGGGAUGAUGAAGGCAGGGGCUGCUCCUGUAGCUGAGAUCUGGGGUUGACCUUCGGAGUCAGUGUGAGGAGGUCAGAGACCAACUGGAGUGUCUCCUUCCUGAGCAUUCAGCCUACAAUCCCAAGGGACUGAGUUGGCUCCAGUGCAGUAUACAUGGAAGUGGUACUUGCUCUUUGGGGCUUGGCCUCAGAACUAUCCUGGAUGGAGGUCAGAGCUUACCGUAUGGUCAGGUCUGUCUUCGCAUAGCCGUCGUACUGUGUGCUCCUCUGCAGUGCAUGCAUAUCCAGUUCAGGACUGCCACAAACCAGGAUUUCUACUUCUUCUGGACGAAGCAGCUAUCAAUAAUCACAAAAACCAUAAUUCAAAAUGAUAGUCUUGCCGGGCAGUGGCGGUGCCCUCCUUUAAUCCCAGCACUCGGGAGGCAGAGGCAGGCGGAUUUCUGAGUUCGAGGCCAGCCUGGUCUACAAAGUGAGUUCCAGGACAGCCAGGGCUGCACAGAGAAACCCUGUCUUGAAAAUCCAAAUUUAAAAAAAUGAUAGUCUUAAAUGAAAUUUGAAGUGUUUUUAUUGCAGAAUCAAAUCAUAGAAAUUAUGACACUGUCUCAGUAAAUAAAAUUACUUUUUUGUUGAAGAAAA